AACGUAACAAGGUCUCCGUUGGUGAACCAGCGGAGGGAUCAUUGCUGGAACGCGCCCUAGGCGCACCCAGAAACCCUUUGUGAACUUAUACCUUACUGUUGCCUCGGCGCAUGCUGGCCCCCUCGGGGCCCCCUGGAGACAGGGAGCAGGCACGCCGGCGGCCAAGUUAACUCUUGUUUUUACACUGAAACUCUGAGAAAAAACACAAAUGAAUCAAAACUUUCAACAACGGAUCUCUUGGUUCUGGCAUCGAUGAAGAACGCAGCGAAAUGCGAUAAGUAAUGUGAAUUGCAGAAUUCAGUGAAUCAUCGAAUCUUUGAACGCACAUUGCGCCCUCUGGUAUUCCGGAGGGCAUGCCUGUUCGAGCGUCAUUUCAACCCUCAAGCAUUGCUUGGUGUUGGGGCACUGCUUUUAACGAAGCAGGCCCUGAAAUCUAGUGGCGAGCUCGCCAGGACCCCGAGCGCAGUAGUUAAACCCUCGCUUUGGAAGGCCCUGGCGGUGCCCUGCCGUUAAACCCCCAACUUCUGAAAAUUGACCUCGGAUCAGG
rnacentral:rRNA from 1 species